GCUGCCCUACUGAAAAGUUCUUGCUUGACUUCUAACCAGUCAGGACGAGAGGAAUGGAACGGACGCUUGUGAUUGGCUACAAAUCUGUAAAAGCCGGUUGUCCGAAGAGAAAGCGAGACCCAAUUUUAGGCAGAGAGGUCAUUUGCUUGCUUUCCCUGGUGUGUGCAGUAUCUGUGAUCUUAGGAAGUGAAGACAUCUGAGCGUAUAAGGAAAAUGCAUGCACCACAGCAAUCUCAAAUGGGACUAGAACAGCUUACAAGAUAUUGUCACAGCGUUUAACUAUGGUAAUCUUGCAUCCUCCACGGCCAAGAGACUAUUGUUACCAAAAGGAACGUAUUGUGUUGAAAAUUUGUCUACUGGUAACAAGAUCUCUUGGAGGAAAUAUGAAAUUACUAGAAUUUGAGGAUUAAUUUUAAAUGGUACUCUUCUACUGGGAGAAUCUUCAGGACUGCACAGUUACUUCGGUAGAAUCGGAAAUUCACAGAAGAAAUCUACUAAAAUGUUUGAGAAAAAAAAAUCCCGUGGAAGAAAAUGUGGUGUAGCAGAUGCAACAGGAUUAAAAGGCAUUUUUUUCUGCAAGAAAGGACUGCAGAGGGGUGUGUUUGAUCUGUGAAAGGCCAAUCUCCUUGGUAGUGUUGGAAGUUAAGGAGAUUUCGAAGGCCUUGUGGCCGGGAGAGAAGACUAUAAUAAACUGCUCGCCUCCUCUUUGAGAAAUUACGAACUGUUGGCCUCCUCCAUGUUGGACGAGAGAGAAAAGAAUACCAACUGCUAAAAGAGAUGAGAUUACAAACUACUGGCGGAAGGGAGAGAACACUACCAGCUACCCACCCUGACAAAGGGAGAGAAUGAGAAUAGACUACCAGCAUAGCCUCCCUGGCGGAGGGGGGAGAGGAGAUAAGAGACUACCAACAGCGCCUUCCUGGCGGAGAAGGGAGAAGACAACUAUGCUGCUGCUGGCAUUUCUUGGCACCUUUCCUUGGGUGUAAGGUUUGAGAUAUUGCUUUACUGCCU